rnacentral:rRNA from 1 species
CCUACGGGGGGCAGCAGUCGAGAAUCAUUCACAAUGGGGGAAACCCUGAUGGUGCGACGCCGCGUGGGGGAAUGAAGGUCUUCGGAUUGUAAACCCCUGUCAUGUGGGAGCAAAUUAAAAAGAUAGUACCACAAGAGGAAGAGACGGCUAACUCUGUGCCAGCAGCCGCGGUAAUACAGCGGUCUCAAGCGUUGUUCGGAAUCACUGGGCGUAAGGCGUGCGUAGGCUGUUUCGUAAGUCGGGUGUGAAAGGCGCGGGCUCAACCCGCAGACGGCACAUGAUACUGCGAGACUAGAGUAAUGGAGGGGGAACCGGAAUUCUCGGUGUAGCAGUGAAAUGCGUAGAUAUCGAGAGGAACACUCGUGGCGAAGGCGGGUUCCUGGACAUUAACUGACGCUGAGGCACGAAGGCCAGGGGAGCGAAAGGGAUUAGAUACCCGGGUAGUC